rnacentral:lncRNA from 1 species
AGAAAGCAAAGCCACCAAAAUUGCCCCCAGAACUGCAACUUUCCGCCAAUCAGAUGAAGGAGAGAUCAGAUUGUCAAUGAUCCCGAUGACUAGCACCGCAACUAAUGCAAGGUAAAUGUUCCUUCUGAUUUUUGAUCCAGCAUUUUCUUUGGUUAGCUCUCUAAUCUUCUCCAUUUCCUCCUUAGCUUCUGCUUUUUCUUUAGUUGUCCUUUGCCUCAGGUUCUUGAAGAACAGCCCUUCAUUCCUUUCUUUCUCAAUUUGACCUUCGAAGUCUGCUAACUUCUUCUCAUUAUUUUCUAUCUCCAGUCUGCUCAUCUCUGAGGAUUCCUGGAAGGCUUGCAUCUGACUCUCCAUGUUCUCCAUAAUCUGCUAAUCACAAAUGAAUAAGAAGUGGUAUUAUCAUCCGAAGCAAGACCCUUGUAUCUCUAUGCAUUGGAUGGGUAUAUAAGAAGGUGAACAGACCCUAGUGCCAGCUUCUUCGAGUUCUUUGAGUGCAUUUUCUCCUAUCUGAUCAAACUCAGCAUUGGCCUCUUCAGCAAAUUGAGUUAGAUAAGCUGACCUCUCAUCCAAGUAGUCAGUGAGACGGACUUUCUGAGCCUGAAGCAUGGCGAUUCUGGCAAGAAGUUCCUGCUUGCG